AUUGAACGCUGGCGGAAUGCUUUACACAUGCAAGUCGAACGGCAGCACGGACUUCGGUCUGGUGGCGAGUGGCGAACGGGUGAGUAAUGUAUCGGAACGUGCCCAGUCGUGGGGGAUAACGUAGUGAAAAUUACGCUAAUACCGCAUACGAUCUAUGGAUGAAAGCGGGGGAUCGCAAGACCUCGCGCGAUUGGAGCGGCCGAUAUCAGAUUAGGUAGUUGGUGGGGUAAAGGCCCACCAAGCCAACGAUCUGUAGCUGGUCUGAGAGGACGACCAGCCACACUGGAACUGAGCCACGGUCCCGCCUCCUACGGGAGGCAGCAGUGGGGAAUUUUGGACAAUGGGCGAAAGCCUGAUCCAGCCAUUCCGCGUGCAGGAUGAAGGCCCUCGGGUUGUAAACUGCUUUUGUACAGAACGAAAAGGUUUCUACUAAUACUAGGAGCUCAUGACGGUACUGUAAGAAUAAGCACCGGCUAACUACGUGCCAGCCGCCGCGGUAA
rnacentral:rRNA from 1 species